AGUGAACGCUGGCGGUAGGCCUAACACAUGCAAGUCGAACGGCAGCACAGUAAGAGCUUGCUCUUACGGGUGGCGAGUGGCGGACGGGUGAGGAAUACAUCGGAAUCUACUUUUUCGUGGGGGAUAACGUAGGGAAACUUACGCUAAUACCGCAUACGACCUACGGGUGAAAGCAGGGGAUCUUCGGACCUUGCGCGAUUGAAUGAGCCGAUGUCGGAUUAGCUAGUUGGCGGGGUAAAGGCCCACCAAGGCGACGAUCCGUAGCCGGUCUGAGAGGAUGAUCAGCCACACUGGAACUGAGACACGGUCCAGACUCCUACGGGAGGCAGCAGUGGGGAAUACUGGACAAUGGGCGCAAGCCUGAUCCAGCCAUACCGCGUGGGUGAAGAAGGCCUUCGGGUUGUAAAGCCCUUUUGUUGGGAAAGAAAAGCAGCAGGUUAAUACCCCGCUGUUCUGACGGUACCCAAAGAAUAAGCACCGGCUAACUUCGUG
rnacentral:rRNA from 1 species